rnacentral:tRNA from 1 species
GGGGCUAUAGCUCAGUUGGUAGAGCACUUCCAUGGCAUGGAAGGGGUCGAGAGUUCGAUUCUCUCUAGCUCCA